AUAGCCAAUCAGGAUCCAGGGGGCGGGGUCAGUGUGUAAACAGGUGGUUUAGAAACUCUCAUCAGGUAUGCUGGCUGAGGGGAAAGGCUGGUUGUGAUUGGCUGGUGGGCAGACAGGUUUGGUGAGUGGAGUGAGCUCAGGUGAGAGUUCAGGUGAGAGUUCAGGUGUGUUGCUCAGGUGUGGAGCAGGGCGUGAGGAGGACAGAUGGCAGGUGAGGUGAGAGCUGGAGGGCAGGGUGAAGCCGGAGCCUCGGGGGAGAGCAGGCCAAGCAUCACACAGCGUCCGGGAGUUCUGAGGAGAGUGACUGUAAGCCCCUUUCACAGCAGAUACAAGGCUCUGGUCUCCUCCUCCUCCUCAGGAUCCGGUUCUUCUCCAGCAGCUGGUUUUAAACAGGAGAGUGACUUUCUCAUCCACCUGUCUGAUAAAACACCGCCCUCAGGAGACACGCCCACACAGAACGGGAUUAUCAGUAAAACCCUGAAUUCAUUCAGCUUCACUCCUCCGAACAAAGCUAAUGGACUCAAUGGAAGCUCAACCACUGUGGACCCCUUUUCUCCUCAAGGCAAAGAGAACAUGGCGGUGCCAAACGGUAGAGGAACCAAUGGCUGGCCUUCAGCAUCUUCUCCAGAAACACCAUCCACACCAAAUAACUGGGCGGUCUUCCCACCAUCUCCUGCUUUAGAUCAAGUCUCGGAUCCAUUCCAAGCCACGCCCCCUUCCUGGCUUUCAGACGCCCCUAAGAGUUGGUCAACCAAUCACACCAAGGAUAUUUUACAACCUUCCAAAGCCAAUGAGGAAAAUGGCAUCUCCAGGAGCAUGGUGUCCAAUGGGGUGCAAGCUGCAUCUACCAGUUAUUCAUCAGAUCCAUUCCAAGCCACGCCUCCAUCCUGGCUUUCGGACGUCCCCAAGAUUGGUCCAUCCAAUCAGACCACUGAUAUUUUCCAAUCUUCCAAAGCCAAUGAGCAAAAUGGCAGCUCAAAGAGCAUGGUGACCAAUGGGGUUCAAGCUGCAUCUACUAGUUAUUUAUCAGAUCCAUUCCAAGCCACGCCCCCUUCCUGGCUUUCAGACGUCCCCAAGAUUGGGUCAACCAAUCACACCAAGGAUAUUUUCCAAUCUUCCAAAGCCAAUGAGGAAAAUCGCAUCUCAAGGAGUGUAAUGGUCAACAAGCUCCAAGACACUUCCACCAAUUCUAAAUCUGAUCUAUUUGAAGCCACGCCUCCUUCCUGGCUUUCAGACGUCCCCAAGAUUGAGCCCACCAAUCACACCAAGGAUAUUUUCCAAUCUUUGAAAGCCAUUAAGGAAAAUGGCAUCUCCAGGAGCAUGGUGACCAAUGGGGUUCAAGCUGCAUUUACCAGUUAUUCAUCUGAUCCAUUCCAAGCCACGCCCCCUUCCUGGCUUUCAGAUGUCCCCAAGAUUGAGCCAGCCAAUCACACCGAAGAUAUUUUCCAAUCUUCCACAGCCAAUGAGAAAAAUGGCGUCUCCAAGAGCAUGGUGGCCAAAGAGGCAUCAAACGAGAGGGAUUAUCUCCUGGAAUACAUUCUGGCCAAUCAGAAACAUGAAGAUCCUCAGCCCUCGCCUCCUUCAACUGUAGCGUCUGAUGGGUCAUCAAGCUUCUUCCCGCCUCCCGUCAUCACCGAGGACUCGAUCUUCUCCACCCCCUUUUCCACUGCAGAGAAUGGAAUUUUCCAAAGUACACCAUUAUUUCAGACACCAACGUUUGAUCCAUUCUCUGAUGAUCCCGCUGUAAACGGUGAUCUGUUUAAACCCCAAAAAAGCCCAUUUGAUGAUUUGUUCGCUACUCCUGCUGGGAAUCCCAAUGCUAACACACCUGAAACAUUCCAGGAGAAUUCCUCAGGUGUGUCUCCAGUUAAUGGUGGACUGAUGUUCAGAAGACGUCCUCCUGUUCCAGCUCCACGCAGACCUCUUAAGAAGCCCAGUCAGACUGUGGAGAAUCAAUCUUUAUCAAAAACGGCUCCAAGUGAUCCUCCUCAGACUCCGGUUAUACACCUCCAGUCUCCGCCCACUUCUCCUGUAGCUCCUCCCACUGCCUCGCCAUUUUCUACAACCAGCACUAAGAAUUUGGCACCAGCUGAAGAGGAAAAUAAUAAUCAGGUCUAUGAGGAUGUUCUUCUGAUUGGCCAGGAGAAGUGUGUGGAGGAUUGGCCCGAGGACAGCCCUGAACUCUCCUCUGAUUGGAAGCCUGCUGGAAAAUUAAGACUGAGGAGGGAUUCUGUGAAGGUUACCACAGAAACUGAAGAAACUCUUGGGAAGAAACAUGGAAUAUCUAAACUGAGCAAGAGGUUUUCGAUCAUUUCUAGACGAGGGUCGAAGGAGAAGUUUGGAGAUGAGCUGAAGGUGGCGCAGACAGCUACGCUCGGCAGAGAGGCAGCGGAAAAAAGAACUCCAGACAGUGUGAACGGAGGCUAUGGAGGAACCUUGCCCUGGGGGACGAAGGUGAUUUUAAAAACUUUCUCUUGUAUAAUAAACUGUAAAUCUACAGUAAUGUUAAAAUUAGAAAUUAAACAUAUAUAUUUUUUAAAUCUAAUAACGCAUACAUUUAACUGUUCCAAAAUGUGCUGGUCAAACUCAGGCAGCUUUACUUUUUUUUUUUUUACAGGGUUUCUAAUCUGAAUAUGGUUAUAAAACUCAUGUAACAUUUUAAAAAGCCUGUUUAAAAGCCAAAAGUCCACUAAUUCUUUUAAUUUCCUCUCUAGAAAGUCUUCAUUUUAAAGAAAUGGUCGACUGCAUGUUCAAACUAUUGAUAUUUAUGACCAAAAAAAAAUCACUCCUGUUACUUUUUUAUGUUUUGAGUAACAGGACUGAAAGUAGCAGGAAUUAGUUUUUAGCAUAGAAUUAGCAAAAACAAAUAGCUAAACAGCGGCUAAUAUGCUAAUAGCAUGAGAAAAGUGAGCACAUUCUAGUGAUUUUCCCCAAAAUUUCUAUUUAUAAAAUAACCCAAAAAUAUGUAAGAAUGAAUUUCGGUAACAGGACUGAGUGUUGAGAUUGAGCUUCUCAGUCAUCGUUACAAUAAGAUCAAAUAUACUGUGGCGUCUGUGUGUGUGUGCGUGUGUGGCUGCUGUAUGCCUGUGUGUGCCUGUCUCUGUGUGCCCGCCUCUGUGUGUGUGUGUGUGUGUGUNNNNNNNNNNNNNNNNNNNNNNNNNNNNNNNNNNNNNNNNNNNNNNNNNNNNNNNNNNNNNNNNNNNNNNNNNNNNNNNNNNNNNNNNNNNNNNNNNNNNGGCCGGUUCCUCUCUACUGCACGGGUCUAAGGAUGGUCUGCUGGCGGAAGCGUCCGAGCUGCAGGGUGGAGAGAAGGUGAGGAACGGAGAGGUGAUGAAGGAGCCGGAGAUGAAGGACUGCAGACCAAAGCAACCAAUGAAGUUAAAGCCCUCUGUUCCCCAACGCCCAUCAAAGAGUGUUUUUGAAGAGAACCAGAAGAAGAUGAAUGAUUUCCCAUUUUCAGAAGAAUCGAAGGAAGACACAUUUAUGAAAACUAAUGCUGAGAGAAGUCCAUUUUCUACAGACUUACUGGAUUCAAGUCUGAAAGAGCCAGAAGGUGCGACUGGAUUCACUCCUUCAUGGGAAUCGCAGGUGGGUUAUCAGGAUGAUCAAUACUCUCCUGGUGAUGUGGACCAGUUCACCACCAGUUUAGAGAACAGGCUGGAGGUGCAGGACUCUCGACCAAAGAAACCUCUAAAACUCAGAUUUCCACGUUUACCUCGGAGAGGAUCGAAGAGCACAACAGAUGAAAUCCCACAGAAAGGAGCAGACUUAUUUAAAGCCAGUGACGCCUGGAGCUCUGACCUCAACAGUCCUGAUGGAUAUAGUGAGCAUAGAAAGCCACCUAUUCUAGUGGUUCCUCCACUCUCCAGAAGAGACUCAGAGGGCAUGAGGGAAUCAGAAACCCCAGAUACAGGAGCAGAUCUGUUUAAAGCAGAGGAUUAUACUGAUGCUGAAAACUACAUGGAGGAGUACAGUCCGGACUCAAAGCCCCAUAAAUCCACAAAAUCACACCCUGCGAGCCGAGACGCAAAGGCUCGAGACGAGGCAACCUUUCCUGAAGACCUCGAUCCACCAGGAGCAACAUCUGGUAACUACUUCCUCUCAGAGGCAGCAAAGGCUGAAUGGAUGUCCUCACAGAUGGACGUGAGAAGAUCGAGAGACCCUGAUGAAGAGGAGAGACUGGAGGGAGUGGAGGAGGAAGAGGAAGGGGACACGGACAGUCUGAUGGAGUGGUGGAACACGGUGGAACUGUGGGACGAGCUUCCGUCAGAUGAGGACAUCAGCCUUAAAGAGGACGAAACUAAAUCUUUCACUGAAAUAGCUGGGAAGGUUCACCGCGGGCUCCGAGUCUUCUAUAAGGUCUUCACUGAACAGGCUGAAGUUCUCUACCAGCACGUCCUGCUCCUCUACGCCAUCGCCGAUGACCUCAGCAACUUCCACCGCCGCGCCAAAAUCGCCAACAUCACAGGCGGCACCACCACGGCUGUGGGUGGCGUGGCGGCCAUCGCCGGACUGGCGUUAGCUCCAGUAACGUUCGGGGCUUCGCUCAUCGUUUCCGCUGUUGGUCUGGGAGUCGCUACGGCCGGAGGAAUCACCGCGGCUUCAGCAGCUAUUUCAGACAACGUUCACGACAUGAACGACCGUAAGAAGAUCGAGCUCGUGGUGCAGGACUACGAGACCCAUCUGACGGAACUGCAGAGCUGCCUGAGGUUCAUUUCGGAGGGAAUCCGUCGGCUGCGCUGCCACCCGCUGCUGCGGAGGAACAACUACUACGCCGGGGACUGGGAGGUGCGCCGGGCGCUGCAGACCGUCAGCCUGGUCAGUGAACCUGUGGAGCGCGCCGAGGACAUAGUGGCCAACGCCAUGGCCGCCCUGAACAGCGUGUGUAAAGGCAUGGACAAGUACUUCACCAAGGACUCCAGGGAGCUGAGGAAGGGCUGUAAGAAGGAGGUGACCAUGCGAGUGCGGAUGUUGGCCAAGCAACUGCACGAGGGCCUAGUGGAGCUCAACUCCAUCAGGGAACAGCUGCUGGACGCGAGUGGAAACAUCUAGAACGUCUCGCUCGGGCUUCAAGCAUGUGGACGUUCCUACAUUCCUGUGAUGCCAGGAAAGCUGUAGAACUGGAGCAACCAGGGAUAUGACUUUUUGUUUUUCUUCCCUUCCAGUGUUCGUCUCAUCUCAUAAAAAUUAAACUAAAAAAACAAUAAUAAUAUUAAUAAUAAUGAUAUAUUUGACUAGCCUCUUAAGUCCAAUUUAGCCUUAGUUUAGGCUGAAUAGUAUUUUACCAUAUAUUUCGCACUAUAACGUCACCAGAUUAUAAGGCGCAUUUUAUGCGACACUAGUAAGGAACAGGGGUGUCGCCAUGUUUUCCUACUUAUUCAGCUUAUUCUCGCCGCUGGGUGCAAGAGAGCUGUAAAGCUAAAGCUAAGCUAAGUCAAACAAGUGCUCGAUAUAAAUCUAUACGGAUUUAUCUUCUGAAAACUGUUUAUUUGGGUGAGUAAAUAAACGAAAGUGCAUUACAGUAAGAUUAGAUCUC
rnacentral:lncRNA from 1 species